GGUUAAGCGACUAAGCGUACACGGUGGAUGCCCUGGCAGUCAGAGGCGAUGAAGGGCGUGCUAAUCUGCGAUAAGCGCCGGUAAGGUGAUAUGAACCGUUAUAACCGGCGAUACCCGAAUGGGGAAACCCAGUGUGAUUCGUCACACUAUCAUUAACUGAAUCCAUAGGUUAAUGAGGCGAACCGGGGGAACUGAAACAUCUAAGUACCCCGAGGAAAAGAAAUCAACCGAGAUUCCCCCAGUAGCGGCGAGCGAACGGGGAGGAGCCCAGAGCCUGAAUCAGCAUGUGUGUUAGUGGAAGCGUCUGGAAAGGCGCGCGAUACAGGGUGACAGCCCCGUACACAAAAGCGCAUGUGCUGUGAGCUCGAUGAGUAGGGCGGGACACGUGGUAUCCUGUCUGAAUAUGGGGGGACCAUCCUCCAAGGCUAAAUACUCCUGACUGACCGAUAGUGAACCAGUACCGUGAGGGAAAGGCGAAAAGAACCCCGGCGAGGGGAGUGAAAAAGAACCUGAAACCGUGUACGUACAAGCAGUGGGAGCACCCUUUGGGUGUGACUGCGUACCUUUUGUAUAAUGGGUCAGCGACUUAUAUUCUGUAGCAAGGUUAACCGAAUAGGGGAGCCGGAGGGAAACCGAGUCUUAACCGGGCGUUAAGUUGCAGGGUAUAGACCCGAAACCCGGUGAUCUAGCCAUGGGCAGGUUGAAGGUUGGGUAACACUAACUGGAGGACCGAACCGACUAAUGUUGAAAAAUUAGCGGAUGACCUGUGGCUGGGGGUGAAAGGCCAAUCAAACCGGGAGAUAGCUGGUUCUCCCCGAAAGCUAUUUAGGUAGCGCCUCGUGAAUUCAUCUCCGGGGGUAGAGCACUGUUUCGGCUAGGGGGCCAUCCCGGCUUACCAACCCGAUGCAAACUGCGAAUACCGGAGAAUGUUAUCACGGGAGACACACGGCGGGUGCUAACGUCCGUCGUGAAGAGGGAAACAACCCAGACCGCCAGCUAAGGUCCCAAAGUCAUGGUUAAGUGGGAAACGAUGUGGGAAGGCCCAGACAGCCAGGAUGUUGGCUUAGAAGCAGCCAUCAUUUAAAGAAAGCGUAAUAGCUCACUGGUCGAGUCGGCCUGCGCGGAAGAUGUAACGGGGCUAAACCAUGCACCGAAGCUGCGGCAGCGACACUGUGUGUUGUUGGGUAGGGGAGCGUUCUGUAAGCCUGUGAAGGUGUGUCGUGAGGC
rnacentral:rRNA from 2 species